rnacentral:tRNA from 1 species
CGGGACGUGGCGAAGCUUGGUAUCGCGCCUGCUUUGGGAGCAGGAUGCCGUGGGUUCGAAUCCCGCCGUCCCGACCA